rnacentral:rRNA from 1 species
GAUGAACGCUGGCGGCGUGCUUAACACAUGCAAGUCGAACGGAAAGGCCAGUGCUUGCACUGGUACUCGAGUGGCGAACGGGUGAGUAACACGUGGGUGAUCUGCCCUGCACUUCGGGAUAAGCCUGGGAAACUGGGUCUAAUACCGGAUAGGACAAUGGUUUGGAUGCCGUUGUGGAAAGUUUUUUCGGUGUGGGAUGAGCUCGCGGCCUAUCAGCUUGUUGGUGGGGUAAUGGCCUACCAAGGCGUCGACGGGUAGCCGGCCUGAGAGGGUGUACGGCCACAUUGGGACUGAGAGACGGCCCAGACUCCUACGGGAGGCAGCAGUGGGGAAUAUGGCACAAUGGGCGCAAGCCUGAUGCAGCGAGGCCGCGUGGGGGAUGAGGGCCUUCGGGUUGUAAACUCCUUUCGCUAGGGACGAAGCGUAUUUGUGACGGUACCUGGAGAAGAAGCACCGGCUAACUACGUG